ACCAAAUAUUGCAAAUUGUUUUGCACUCUAUUAUAUUAUCUAUACAAAUUGUGAGAAAUAUACCACGCCUUUGUAUGCCUAACCAAAUCCAACUACCAAAAGGUUUCAACCUAUUGUAUUUAAGGCUUUGAAUGCAGUAUAGCUCUGCAUUAACGAAAAGUUCAAUUCACAUGUUAAAAGUACCAACAUGCUAAUGAUCCUAUAUGCACUGUCCAAAAGAGAGAGGCUUUUGAAUGAAAUGAUGAGCUGGGUAACAUGUAUAUUGUCUCGUCCUAUGUAUACUUCAUCACAUCUCUUUGCCUCGUCCUAUGUGAACCCUCAUCGCAUUUUUUUGGCAGACUUUGGGUUUUUCAGCAUCCGGAUACUUGAUGGAGUAACUUCAACAAGCUCAUCUUCUUGAAUGUACUCUAUGCAAUCAUCCAGACUAAAAUCUAGUGGGGUAUCAAGAACCACUGUUACUUCUUUGUUUGAACGGACAUUUGUUGCAGCUUUUUUCUUGCAGACAUUCAGGGCAAGGUCACCUGACCGUUGGUGAAUACCAACUAUUUGACCUUUAUAAACAUCAACUCCAGGGCCAAUAAACAACUGUCCUCUGUCCUGAGAACUCAUGAGUGCGUACGAUGUACUUGUUCCGUCCUCAAAUGCAACCAGUGAACCAAGAUCGCGAGUAGAAAUAUCACCAGCCCAUGAUUCAUAGCUCUCAAAUACUGUGUUGAGAAUUGCUGUGCCCCUAGAAGCUGUCAAGAUUGAAUUCCUCAAUCCAAGAAGACCACGGGUAGGUAUUUUAUAUUUGAGGAAGGAUGUUCCUUCAGACCCAAGCCCUUGCAUAUCAAACAUCUGACCACGCCUUUUCCCCAGAAGUUCA
rnacentral:misc_RNA from 1 species